rnacentral:rRNA from 1 species
UACAGGGGUGCAACGUUGCUCGGAAUUAUUGGGCGUAAAGCGCGCGUAGGCGGCUACUUAAGUCGGAUGUGAAAGCCCUUGGCUCAACUGAGGAAGUGCACCCGAAACUGAGUGGCUUGAGUACUAAAGAGGGUCGCGGAAUUCCCGGUGUAGAGGUGAAAUUCGUAGGAUAUCGGGAGGAACACCGGUGGCGAAGGCGGCUAUCUGGACCGACAUU